GAAAGAUUAUUGGGGGUGCAAAACCCAGAAUUUCGGCGCUAUGAUUCUUGACCAAAAACUGUUGGUCUGAGUGUCAGAUUCGUUUAAAGUUAUGUUCUGCAUUGUGAAAUUCCUUGAUUUUCAAGAAGAAAAUGAAGCAGAGAUAGUGCCUACAUCAUGGCUAAAUGAAGACCAGUCUUUUUGUUUCUGGCCACCAGCAAAAACUACUUUUGGAGUAAUGUCAUUGGUGAAAAAUUUAGCUGUUCCUGCUGAUGACUGGAAACCAUAUCGUGUUUGUUGUAUACAGUUUUUUGAUACGUAUGCAGAAGCACGUACAAAACUGUAUGAUGCUGAAAUGCUUUCACAUUUUAAAGAAACAGAUGCAAUGAGAAAGCUGCAUUAUAGACCUGGAAAGAAAAGGCAACAUAAAGAAUUAGAAACUUCAGAUAUAGAAUUAGGAAAUCUGAUGAACCAAAGUUCUACCACUAUUCAUACACCACUGAUCCAAAGAAUCACUAUAGUAUCUUCAUCUUCAGAACAAAAUGACGUAUCUGAUUUUAAAUCUUCACAGGAUCUGAGAUCUGAUGGUCAUGAAUCACUUUGCUGCCCAUGUCAUAAGACACUGACAAACAUACUUCAGAAGAUUCAGUCUGAAAUCUCAGAGCACACAGAGAUUUUAAAUGCCUUAUUAGCAACAAAUAAAGAUGCAGUAAUAAAAUGUGCUCCAAAAAAUCUUCCAGUAGACUUGCCAACUUCAUCCAUAAAUGACUUGGAAGUUCUGGAUCGCUAUCUAUCAGAUGAAGCAUCAUUUAAUGCCUGUGUAUCAUAUUUUACAGUAUAUGGUGGACCAACAUUGACACAUGUUGUAAAAAAUAUUUUAAAGCACAUUUUGACAGAUGAACUUGCGAAAGAACAUAACAUGAAAGGUAGAGGGGAAAAGAAAGCAUUUGAAAGUUAUUCAAACAUGUGCACAAUGAUAUAUUGUACUACUGUGAAAAAUGCUCGAUGCAAGAAUGCCACUAUUUCAGAAGUCAUGAAGAUUAUUCAGCUGUGGCUACAACAUUCACCAGAUCGUUUAAAACUAGCAGGAAAAAUUUAAGUUUGCAGUUAUGACCUUUGUUUUGAAAAUUACCGCCACUGAACUUCCUGAUUCAUUUGAAAAUGAGGUAGUGGAACCAUUAGAUGACACUGUUACAAUAAGAAAUAAUUUGAAAAUUAUGGAAUUAUGGAAGAUAUCAACAAAUGGAUAUGAAAAUUUGCUCAGAAAACAAAUACUCAAUGGAAAACCAGAACUUCAAAUCCAAAUUGUGAACAUCUUUAUUUGUUCAUAAAAAGCAAUUUGCAUCAUAGUUCUCACAGGAAAAUUGGUAGAAAAAUGAGCUGAAACUGUGACUCAAAAAGUGCAGAUUGUAAAGCUUUUGUGAAAAUAAUGAUGAAGAAAUACAUAAGCUAUGUAAGAUGCAAGGAUAAAUUUGCCAGAAUCUGUGAUUUCUUGGUCCCCUUUUGCGACUUCAACUCCUUUCUCCUUGGAGAAUUAUGUUCCAGAAUUCUCACCGUCAUGAGCCCAUCGGGUAGCAUCUCAACUGAGCAGGAAGAAGUCGCACUACCUGCGUGAUAUUCUCGGCUAAUAGUGGAACUUGGAGCUUGGAUUGGUGUGACAGAAUCGUUAGCAUUUUUUUUAGUAAAAUUUAUGAUAGAAAUGGU
rnacentral:misc_RNA from 1 species